CACCGGCGGCCCGAGUGGUGAUCGUGAUUAUUGGGUCUAAAGGGUCCGUAGCCGGUUUGGUCAGUCCUCCGGGAAAUCUGAUAGCUCAACUAUUAGGCUUUCGGGGGAUACUGCUUGUCUUGAGACCGGGAGAGGUUGGAGGUACUCCCAGGGUAGGGGUGAAAUCUUGUAAUCCCUGUGGGACCACCUGUGGCGAAGGCGUCUUACCAGAACGGGUUCGACGGUGAGGGACGAAAGCUGGGGGGACGAACAGG
rnacentral:rRNA from 1 species